CGCACUUCCGACUAUGCGCCAGGAGAACUUCCGGGGCAGAGCCUGAGAGCGCGCGCGCACGUGGGGCCGGGGCGGAGAGAGGCGAGCACCGGGAAGGGGAGCGUAGGGCAGCUGGAAUGGGUGAAUUUAAGGUCCAUCGAGUACGUUUCUUUAAUUAUGUUCCAUCAGGAAUCCGCUGUGUGGCUUACAAUAACCAGUCAAACAGAUUGGCUGUUUCACGAACAGAUGGCACUGUGGAAAUUUAUAACUUGUCAGCAAACUACUUUCAGGAGAAAUUUUUCCCAGGUCAUGAGUCUCGGGCUACAGAAGCUCUGUGCUGGGCAGAAGGACAACGACUCUUUAGUGCUGGGCUCAAUGGUGAGAUUAUGGAGUAUGACUUACAGGCGUUAAACAUCAAGUAUGCUAUGGAUGCCUUUGGAGGACCUAUUUGGAGCAUGGCUGCCAGCCCCAGUGGCUCUCAACUUUUGGUUGGCUGUGAAGAUGGAUCUGUGAAACUAUUUCAAAUUACCCCGGACAAAAUCCAGUUUGAAAGAAAUUUUGAUCGGCAGAAAAGUCGCAUCCUGAGUCUCAGCUGGCAUCCCUCUGGUACCCACAUUGCAGCUGGUUCCAUAGACUACAUUAGUGUGUUUGAUGUCAAAUCAGGCAGCGCUGUUCAUAAGAUGAUUGUGGACAGGCAGUAUAUGGGCGCGUCUAAGCGGAAGUGCAUCGUGUGGGGUGUCGCCUUCUUGUCCGAUGGCACUGUCAUAAGUGUGGACUCUGCUGGGAAGGUGCAGUUCUGGGACUCAGCCACUGGGACGCUUGUGAAGAGCCAUCUCAUCGCUAAUGCUGAUGUGCAGUCCAUUGCUGUAGCUGACCAAGAAGACAGUUUCGUGGUGGGCACAGCCGAGGGAACAGUCUUCCAUUUUCAGCUGGUCCCUGUGACAUCUAACAGCAACGAGAAGCAGUGGGUGCGGACAAAACCGUUCCAGCAUCACACUCAUGACGUGCGCACCGUGGCCCACAGCCCAACAGCGCUGAUAUCUGGAGGCACUGACACCCACUUAGUCAUUCGUCCUCUCAUGGAGAAGGUGGAGGUAAAGAAUUACGAUGCCGCUCUCCGAAAAAUCACCUUUCCCCACCGAUGUCUCAUUUCCUGUUCUAAAAAGAGGCAGCUUCUCCUCUUCCAGUUUGCUCAUCACUUAGAACUCUGGCGACUGGGAUCCACAGUUGCAACAGGCAAGAAUGGGGAUACUCUUCCACUCUCUAAAAAUGCAGAUCAUUUACUGCACCUAAAGACAAAGGGUCCUGAGAACAUUAUCUGUAGCUGUAUCUCCCCAUGUGGAAGUUGGAUAGCCUAUUCUACAGUUUCUCGGUUUUUUCUCUAUCGGCUGAAUUAUGAACAUGACAACAUAAGCCUCAGAAGGGUUUCCAAAAUGCCAGCAUUCCUUCGCUCUGCCCUUCAGAUUUUGUUUUCUGAAGAUUCAACAAAGCUCUUUGUAGCAUCAAAUCAAGGAGCUCUGCAUAUUGUUCAGCUGUCAGGAGGAAGCUUCAAGCACCUGCAUGCUUUCCAGCCUCAGUCAGGAACAGUGGAGGCCAUGUGUCUUUUGGCAGUCAGUCCAGAUGGGCAUUGGCUAGCUGCAUCAGGUACCAGUGCUGGAGUCCAUGUCUACGAUGUAAAACAGCUAAAGCUUCACUGCACGGUGCCUGCUUACAAUUUCCCAGUGACUGCUAUGGCCAUUGCACCCAAUACCAACAACCUUGUCAUCGCUCAUUCGGACCAGCAGGUAUUUGAGUACAGCAUCCCAGACAAACAGUAUACAGAUUGGAGCCGGACUGUCCAGAAGCAGGGCUUUCAUCACCUUUGGCUCCAAAGGGAUACUCCUAUCACACACAUCAGUUUUCAUCCCAAGAGACCGAUGCACAUCCUUCUCCAUGAUGCCUACAUGUUCUGCAUCAUUGACAAGUCAUUGCCCCUUCCAAAUGACAAAACCUUACUCUACAAUCCAUUUCCUCCCACGAAUGAAUCAGAUGUCGUCCGGAGGCGCACAGCUCAUGCUUUUAAAAUUUCUAAGAUAUAUAAGCCUCUACUCUUCAUGGAUCUUUUGGAUGAAAGAACACUCGUGGCAGUAGAACGGCCUCUGGAUGACAUCAUUGCUCAACUCCCACCACCCAUUAAAAAGAAGAAAUUUGGAACCUAAAACAGGGCACUGUCUGUGUCCUUCCUUGAACUGUCUACCCUGUUGCUUUUCACAAAUCAUGGGUCUGGCUCUGUUGCCCAGGCUGGAUUGCAGUUGCUCAAUCUUGACUUAUUGCAGCCUUAACCCCUGGGCUCAAGCAAUCCUCCGGCCUCAGCAUCCUGAGUAGCUAGAAGUACAGAUGGAGUCUCGCUCUUUCGCCAGGCUGGAGUGCAGUGGCGCAAUCUCAGCUCACCGCAACCUCUAACUCCCUGGUUCAAGUGAUUCUCCUGCCUCAGCCUCCCGAGUAGCUGGGAUUAUAGGCACGCACCACCACGCCCAGCUAAUUUUUGUAUUUUUAGUAGGAGCAGGGUUUCACCAUGUUGGCCAGGAUGGUCUCGAUCUCCUGACCUUGUGAUCCACCCGCCUUGGCCUCCCAAAGUGCUGGGAUUACAGACGUGAGCCAUCGUGCCCGGCCCUUUCAUUUAUUUUUUGAGACAGAGUCUCACUUUGUUGCCCAGGCUGGAGUGCAAUGGCGUGAUCUCGGCUCACUAUAAUCUCUGCCUCCUCAGUUCAAGCGAUUCUCGUCCCUCAGCCUCCUGAGCAGCUGGAAUUAUAGGCAUGCACCCCUACACCAGGCUAAUUUUUGUAUUUUUAGUAGAGACAAGGUUUCACCAUGUUGGCCAGGCUGGUCUCAAACUCCUGGCCUCAAGCGAUCUGCCCGCCUCAGCCUCCCAAAGUGCUGGGAUUACAGGUGUGAGCCACUGUGCCCAUCCGCCAUUUCCUUUUUUUAGAGGUAAAGUAACAUGACUCUUCAAAGAGUGAUCAUAGCUUGUCUCACUGUCCUUAAGAAACUGUGGAAACAGAUGUGCACUCUUUUUAUUUCAGAUUGCAUUAUCCACAGUAAGUAGAUUUCCACUGACUCCUUGAGAUUUCCUAGAUGGUAAUUUUUACUCUGCAAGGAACCAAUAACCUUCAGAGGAAUUAUUUGAAAGGACUAUAGCGCAGAAGGCACUGAAUUUCAAUCAAUCAUAUGUUUAAUGAGUUCCUUCUCUGCAAGGUAAUCUUUUUGGAAUAGUGGGGAAUAAAUGUAAGUUGAUGGGUGGUCCCUGCCCUCCUGUAGUUUAUAAUCUACUUGGCCAAACAAGCCAGGAACAGAAUUAAAUUGUUCAAAGGAAAAUUCCCAAUGAACUGAGUAGUCAGGCAAAGCUGAAAUGAAAUCUUGCUAGGUGGUAAGGGAAUUCGGCUGGCGGAGGCAAGAGGUGUCUGGAAAGAAGGACGUAGACAACGUGUAAGACAUCAUUGGGAGACACUGACUGAAUGAGUUGGGCUCAUCUGAAGGUAGUGAUGAAAGGCAAUGUUGAAAAGUUCAUUUCGGUUCUGAUGGAAGGCCUUGCAGAUACAGCUUGACAGUUGGGGGAUUUUUUUUUAUGGACAUAUUUAAAAAUAAUCUUUUUUUUUUUUUUUUUUUUUUGAGAUGGAGUCUUGCUCUAUCGCCCAGGCUGGAGUGCAGUGGCACGAUCUCGGCUCACUGCAACCUCCAUCUCCUGGGUUCAAGUGAUUCUUCUGCCUCAGCUCCUGAGUAGCUGGGACUACAGGUGCAUGCCACCACGUCCAGCUAAUUUUUGUAUUUUUAGUAGAGAUGGGGUUUCACCAUGUUGCCCAGGAUGGUCUGGAUCUCCUGACCUCGUGAUCCCCCCACCUCGGCCUCCCAAAGCUCUGGGAUUACAGGCGUGAGCUAUCGCGUCCAGCCUGAAAAUAACCUUUAAAGGAAAAAUUCUCAAGUAAUCCCAAUACCAAUCUAUCUCCCUUAGCUACUUCCAGGGUUAAAUAUUUUGUUAUAUAACUUGCUGUCUUAUGUAAGUGCCCUCACUAUUAGUUAGCAGAUCUGUGACUUACUCCAACUCUGUUGGCAAAAAGGUCUUGAUAGUCUUGCAGAGAAUUCCCAGCACUUCCCUUUUGCUAAUAAAGGUGUCCUCAAGUACCCAACUCCUGGGUGAUUACAAAUGCAAAAGUGUUAAAAAUAGCACUCAAUACUCUAAGGAAUCAGCUGCCAAACACUCUCUAAUAAGCAGAAAUUUCACAUAACUCAGGCCUCUGGGGGCUCACGCCUCAGCUGGAGCAAAGCCAGAAUGUCUGUGACCGCAGGUGCACUUGGGCACAUUGGGACCUGCUGGAACAGCAAGCUGGCCUCUGCAGUUGAUUUAGGAGAGGGCUGGAGGGUUGAGCUUUUGCUGACAUUUGCAGCUUGGAAAAUCCGACUCCACUAAUCGCAAAGGGGAUUCUGCUGUAAUGAUUUUUUUUUUUGGUAAGAUACUUUUCUCAUUUUGAAUUCUUUCUUCAUUUGGGCUCUGGACACUUCCCGGCCUCUACAUUUGUAUUUUAACUUCUGUUACAGGAGGCUCUUCAGAAGUUUCUGCCUGCACAUGAACAUGCAUUCACAGAGUGGUGCACGGCCACGGUUUACGAGCCUCAACGUGCACUUCAUGAGCAAGCAAGUUUACAGCCCCUUUUACAGGAAUUGGUGCACAUUCCCUCUGCUUGCCCCGUCCCUGCCCACAUGAAAAC